rnacentral:rRNA from 1 species
UACGUAGGGUGCAAGCGUUAAUCGGAAUUACUGGGCGUAAAGCGUGCGCAGGCGGCUUUGCAAGACAGAGGUGAAAUCCCCGGGCUCAACCUGGGAACUGCCUUUGUGACUGCAAGGCUAGAGUACGGCAGAGGGAGAUGGAAUUCCGCGUGUAGCAGUGAAAUGCGUAGAUAUGCGGAGGAACACCGAUGGCGAAGGCAAUCUCCUGGGCCUGUACUGACGCUCAUGCACGAAAGCGUGGGGAGCAAACAGG